AAGGAUCAUUACAGAGUUCUUGCCCUUACGGGUAGAUCUCCCACCCUUGAAUACAUACCUUUGUUGCUUUGGCGGGCCGCGCUCGCGCUACUGGCUCCGGCUAGUACGUGCCCGCCAGAGGACCACAACUCUUGUUUUUAGUGAUGUCUGAGUACUAUAUAAUAGUUAAAACUUUCAACAACGGAUCUCUUGGUUCUG
rnacentral:misc_RNA from 1 species